rnacentral:lncRNA from 1 species
CUCUUCAAGAGGUAGGUUUUUCGAUCCUCUUAAUUGCUGAUUUUAUGUGCAUGAUCUUGUAGUUCUUCUCUUGCUGAUUAGUCUGAUCUAAAUUUCAUGUGAAAUGGUUGAUUAUUUAGUGAGAUACGUGUGUUUGAAGUUUUUGAAUGCAAAGAUGUUUUGAUUCGAUUUGCAUUGUUUAGCAAGAAUUAACAUGAUUUGAUGCUGGAUUUGUA